rnacentral:rRNA from 1 species
GCAGUGGGGAAUUUUGGACAAGGGGGGGCAACCCUGAUCCAGCCAUUCCGCGUGAGUGAAGAAGGCCUUCGGGUUGUAAAGCUCUUUAAGAGGGAAAGAAAUGGUAUGCUCUAAUAUUCCGUGAUAAAAACGGUACUAGCAGAAGAAGCACCGGCUAACUACGUGCCAGCAGCCGCGGUAAUACGUAGGGUGCGAGCGUUAUUCUGAAUUAUUGGGCGUAAAGAGUGGGCAGGCGGAGUGUUAAGUAAGAUGUGAAAUACCCCGGGUUAACCCGGGAAUGGCAUUCUUUACUGGCCGUCUAGAGUGUGUCAGAGGGGGGGGGAAUUUUUCGCGUAGCAGUGAAAUAAGUAGAGAUAUGGAGGAACACCAAUGGGGAAGGCAGCCUCCUGGGAUAACACUGACGCUCAUGUACGAAAGCGUGGGGAGCAAACAGGAUUAGAUACCCCCGUAGUCCACGCCCUAAACGAUGUCUACUGUUG